CCUACGGGGUGCAGCAGUGGGGGAUAUUGCACAAUGGGGGAAACCCUGAUGCAGCGACGCCGUGUGUGGGAAGACGGUCCUCUGGAUUGUAAACCACUGUCCCCAGGGACGAAGAUGACGGUACCUGGGGAGGAAGCUCCGGCUAACUACGUUCCAGCAGCCGCGGUAAUAGGUAGGGAGCGAGCGUUGUCCGGAAUUACUGGGUGAAAAGGGAGCGUAGGCGGGUAUGCAAGUUGGGGGUCAAAACUAGCGGCUCAACUGGUAGUCGCACGAAAAACUGCAGCUAUUGAGUGAAGUAGAGGCAGGCGGAAUUGCUGGUGUAGCGGUGAAAUGCGUAGAUAUUAGGAGGAACACCAGUGGCGAAGGCGGCCUGCUGGGCUUUUACUGACGCUGAGGCUCGAAAGUGUGGGGAGCAAACAGGAUUAGAUACCCCAGUAGUC
rnacentral:rRNA from 1 species